rnacentral:pre_miRNA from 1 species
GAAAUACUCCCUCCGUUCCGAAUUACUUGUCGCACAUAUGGAUGUAUCUAGAUGUAUUUUAGUUCUAGAUACAUCCAUUUCAGCGACGAGUAAUUUGGAACGGAGGGAGUAGACA